AAUGUAAUGGAUACAACAUUAAUGCACAUGAUCACAUUAGAAUUCUGCAAUUAAGUGUUCUUGGGCUAGAUCAGUACUAGGAUGGGUGACCUUCUGGGAAGUCCUAGUGCUUUACAUGC
rnacentral:rRNA from 1 species